rnacentral:rRNA from 1 species
UGAGUAACCUGCCCUUCACUCUGGGAUAACUCCGGGAAACCGGGGCUAAUACUGGAUACGACCUACUCGGGCAUCCGAUGUGGGUGGAAAGAUUUAUCGGUGAGGGAUGGACUCGCGGCCUAUCAGCUAGUUGGUGAGGUAAUAGCUCACCAAGGCGACGACGGGUAGCCGGCCUGAGAGGGCGAUCGGCCACACUGGGACUGAGACACGGGCCAGACUCCUACGGGAGCA